rnacentral:rRNA from 1 species
UACGUAGGUGACAAGCGUUGUCCGGAUUUACUGGGCGUAAAGAGCGCGCAGGCGGUCGUUCAAGUCGCGUGUGAAAGCCCCCGGCUCAACUGGGGAGGGUCACGCGAUACUGAUCGACUCGAAGGCAGGAGAGGGUAGUGGAAUUCCCGGUGUAGUGGUGAAAUGCGUAGAUAUCGGGAGGAACACCAGUGGCGAAGGCGACUACCUGGCCUGUUUCUUGACGCUGAGGCGCGAAAGCUAGGGGAGCAAACGGGG